AGAAGGGUCCAAGAGGAAACCAGCCCCAGAGAGCUGCAAGAUUGUGCUCUUCCAGUAUUCAAUCAUAGAAACCGCGGGGAGGCGUCCGGCGGGAGAGCGCCGGGAGGGGGAGCGGCGGCGCCUCGUCCAGCCGCGGCGCGCGCCCAGCCCCGCUUCGCGCCCCAGCCCGACCGACCCAGCCCUUAGAGCCAAUCCUUAUCCCGAAGUUACGGAUCCGGCUUGCCGACUUCCCUUACCUACAUUGUUCCAACAUGCCAGAGGCUGUUCACCUUGGAGACCUGCUGCGGAUAUGGGUACGGCCCCUCUCUCGGGGCGAACCCAUUGGAGUGAGUUCGCGCCUUCCUCCCGCGCGCGGAAUCCGUUCUCGGGAAACAACACGUUUCUGUUCCUGCUUUUGCCCAUUGCCAGCGGAUUCCGACUUCCAUGGCCACCGUCC
rnacentral:lncRNA from 1 species